GCCGGGCAUGGUGGCUCAUGCCUGUAAUCCUAGCAUUUCGGAGGCCGAGGCAGGCAGAUUGCUUUAGCCCAGGAGUUCAAGACCAGCCUGGGCAGCAUGGGGAAACCCUGUCUCUACAAAAAAUACAAAAAUUAGCUGGGUGUGGUGGCCCAGGCCUGUAGUCCCAGCUACUUGGGAGGCUGAGGUGGGAGGAUCACCUGAACCCAGAAGGUUGAGGCUGCAGUAAGCUGAGAUCAUGCCACUGCACUCCUGCCUAGGCCACAGAGUGAGACCCUGUCUCA
rnacentral:sRNA from 1 species